rnacentral:rRNA from 1 species
CCGAGUUUACAACUCCCAAACCCAAUGUGAACCAUACCAAACUGUUGCCUCGGCGGGGUCACGCCCCGGGUGCGUCGCAGCCCCGGAACCAGGCGCCCGCCGGAGGGACCAACCAAACUCUUUCUGUAGUCCCCUCGCGGACGUUAUUUCUCACAGCUCUGAGCAAAAAUUCAAAAUGAAUCA